rnacentral:rRNA from 1 species
UACGUAGGGUGCGAGCGUUAAUCGGAAUUACUGGGCGUAAAGUGUGCGCAGGCGGCUUCGCAAGUCGAGUGUGAAAUCCCCGAGCUUAACUUGGGAAUUGCGCUCGAAACUACGGAGCUGGAGUGUGGCAGAGGAAGGUGGAAUUCCACGUGUAGCAGUGAAAUGCGUAGAGAUGUGGAGGAACACCGAUGGCGAAGGCAGCCCCCUGGGUCAAGACUGACGCUCAUGCACGAAAGCGUGGGGAGCAAACAGG